rnacentral:tRNA from 1 species
GCCUUCGGGGUGUAGUGGUCAGCACACUCAGAGCGUAUAAUCGAGAGGACCGUGGUUCGAAUCCCGGCGAGGGCA